AGGACCUUCGCGGCGUCUCAGCCUCUCUGGAGCUCACUGUUCCCAUCUGUAAGAGGGUGUGUGUGGGACCGUUCCGGCAGGGCUAUCCUGAGGAAACAUCAGAAGCAGUUAUAAAGUUGGGCCUCCCUCCUCCCUCCCCUCGAAAUGCCACUCAGAAUCCCAGUGCCAGGGGGAGCCCCCGCCCCCUCCCCCAUGGAUUCCUGACACCCCUUCCUCUUGUCCCAUCAAGUUUGUUUUUUGGCAACUCUGAUCCCAAAACAAAUUCCUCCUCACCCCGUAAUUAAAGGAAAUUGCACGUA